UACAGAGGUCCCAAGCGUUGUUCGGAUUCACUGGGCGUAAAGGGUGCGUAGGUGGCCGGGUAAGUCUGACGUGAAAUCUCCGAGCCUAACUCGGAAACUGCAUCGGAUACUAUCCGGCUUGAGGGUUGGAGGGGGGACUGGAAUACUUGGUGUAGCAGUGGAAUGCGUAGAUAUCAAGUGGAACACCAGUGGCGAAGGCGAGUCCCUGGACAACUCCUGACACUGAGGCACGAAAGCUAGGGGAGCAAACAGG
rnacentral:rRNA from 1 species